rnacentral:rRNA from 1 species
UACAGAGACUGCAAGCGUUAUUCGGAUUCACUGGGCGUAAAGGGUGCGCAGGCGGUCGGGUGUGUCAGAUGUGAAAUCCCGAGGCUCAACCUCGGAACUGCGUCUGAAACUACUCGACUAGAGUACUGGAGAGGGUAACGGAAUUCACGGUGUAUCAGUGAAAUGCGUAGAUAUCGUGAGGAACACCAGAGGCGAAGGCGGUUACCUGGACAGUUACUGACGCUCAGGCACGAAAGCAUGGGGAGCAAAAGGG